AAAACGUAGGAUCCGAGCGUUGUCCGGAAUCACUGGGUGUAAAGGGUGCGUAGGCGGGCUUGCGCGUCAAGGGUUAAAGACCUCGGCUCAACCGAGGCAAUGCCCUUGAUACGGCUAGCCUUGAGUGCGGGAGAGGAUGGUGGAAUUCCUGGUGUAGCGGUGAAAUGCGUAGAGAUCAGGAGGAACACCGAAGGCGAAGGCAGCCAUCUGGACCGCCACUGACGCUGAGGCACGAAAGCGGGGGGAGCAAACAGGAUUAGAUACCCUGGUAGUCCACGCCCUAAACGAUGUACGCUUGGCGUCGGGGCUUUAGCCUCGGUGCCGGAGGUAACCCGUUAAGCGUACCACCUGGGGAGUACGGUCGCAAGGCU
rnacentral:rRNA from 1 species